rnacentral:rRNA from 1 species
AACGAACGCUGGCGGCGCGCCUAAUACAUGCAAGUCGAGCGAGAAGACGUAGCAAUACGUUUGUAAAGCGGCGAACGGGUGAGGAAUACAUGGGUAACCUACCCUCGAGUGGGGAAUAACUAGCCGAAAGGUUAGCUAAUACCGCGUACGCUCCUUGGACUUCGGUUCAGGGAGGAAAGCGAUACCGUGGGUAUCGCGCUCUUGGAUAGGCUCAUGUCCUAUCAGCUUGUUGGUGAGGUAACGGCUCACCAAGGCUUCGACGGGUAGCUGGUCUGAGAGGACGAUCAGCCACACUGGCACUGCGACACGGGCCAGACUCCUACGGGAGGCAGCAGUAAGGAAUAUUGCGCAAUGGGCGAAAGCCUGACGCAGCGACGCCGCGUGGGGGAUGAAGGUCUUCGGAUUGUAAACCCCUUUCGGGAGGGAAGAUGGAACGAGCAAUCGUUCGGACGGUACCUCCAGAAGCAGCCACGG